GAGAUUAAAAAUUAGAACUCUAA
rnacentral:piRNA from 1 species